UAGGUAAUCUUCCGCAAUGGACGAAAGUCUGACGGAGCAACUCCGCGUGAGUGAAGAAGGAGUUCGGUUCGUAAAACUCUGUUGUUAGGGAAGAAAAAAUGUAUAGGAAUUAUAUACAAAAGAGCCGGUACCUAACCAGAAAGCCACGGCUAACUACGUGCCAGCAUCCGCUGUAAUACGUAGGUGGCAAGCGUUGUCCGGAAUUAUUGGGCGUAAAGCGCGCGCAGGUUGUUUAGAAAGUCUGAUGUGAAAGCCCACGGCUCAACCGUGGAGGGUCAUUGGAAACUAAUAAACUUGAGUGCAGGAGAGAAAAGUGGAAUUCCUAGUGUAGCGGUGAAAUGCGUAGAGAUUAGGAGGAACACCGGUGGCGAAAGCGGCUUUUUGGCCUGCAAAUGACAAUGAGGCGCGAAAGCGUGGGGAGCAAACAGG
rnacentral:rRNA from 1 species